GUGUCAGCAGCCGCGGUAAUACGGGGGGAGCAAACGUUGUUCGGAAUCACUGGGCGUAAAGGGCGCGUAGGCGGCUCGGCAAGUGGUGUGUGAAAUGCCCUGGCUCAACCAGGGAACUGCGCACCAAACUGCCGGGCUUGAGGGCAGUAGAGGAAGCUGGAAUUCCUGGUGUAGCGGUGAAAUGCGUAGAUAUCAGGAGGAACACCGUUGGCGAAGGCGGGCUUCUGGGCUGACCCUGACGCUGAGGCGCGAAAGUUGGGGGAGCGAACAGGAUUAGAAACCCGAGUAGUCC
rnacentral:rRNA from 1 species